GAUGAACGCUAGCGGCAGGCUUAACACAUGCAAGUCGAGGGGCAACGAGAGUAGCAAUACUUGUCGGCGACCGGCGCAAGGGUGCGUAACACGUGAGCAACAUACCCAAAUCAGGAGGAUAACCGGAGGAAACUCUGCCUAAUACUCCAUAAUAUCAUCUUAUGGCAUCAUGAAAUGAUAAAAGAUUUAUCGGAUUCGGAUUGGCUCGCGGGACAUUAGCUCGUUGGUGAGGUAACGGCUCACCAAGGCCACGAUGUCUAGGGGUUCUGAGAGGAAGGUCCCCCACACUGGAACUGAGACACGGUCCAGACUCCUACGGGAGGCAGCAGUGAGGAAUAUUGGACAAUGGUCGGAAGACUGAUCCAGCCAUGCCGCGUGAAGGUUACUGUCCUAUGGAUAUUAAACUUCUUUUGAUGAGAGCAAUAAGGUGCACGCGUGCACCGAUGAGAGUAUCAUACGAAUAAGCAUC
rnacentral:rRNA from 1 species